rnacentral:rRNA from 1 species
GACGAACGCUGGCGGCGUGGAUUAGGCAUGCAAGUCGGACGGUAGGGCUUUAUCGUAAGAUAGAGUUUGAGAGUGGCGAACGGGUGAGUAACACGUAGGAAUCUACCCUUAAGACGGGGACAACCCAGGGAAACUUGGGCUAAUACCGGAUGAGAGUGCGAGAGAUUGCAUUUAAAAGGAUGGCGAAAGUUAUCGCUUAGGGAUGAGCCUGCGGUCUAUUAGUUAGUUGGUGAGGUAAGAGCUCACCAAGGCGAUGAUAGAUAGGCGGCCUUAACGGGUGGUCGCCCACACUGGGAUUGAGAUACGGCCCAGACUCCUACGGGAGGCAGCAGUGGGGAAUAUUGCACAAUGGGCGAAAGCCUGAUGCAGCGACGCCGCGUGAGGGAUGACGGCCUUCGGGUUGUAAACGUCUUUCUAGCAGGAAGAAGCGAAAGUGACGGUACCUGCAGAAGAAGACACCGGCUAACUACGUAGCCAGCAGCCGCGGUAAGUCAUAACUCGUA